rnacentral:lncRNA from 1 species
UGUUAAUUAAAAUUAAGGGGGAAAUGUGAAAUAUAUUUAAGGAGAAAUAAAAGAAAAUUAUAAUAAAAUUGAUGACGCCAUUACUUUAAAAAUAUCAGCAUAAUAUUCACCCAUGUGAAAUUCAUUGCAAAUUUAUUUAGUUUUUUUGUUGUUGAUAAUACAUGGCAAUUAUAAUUGAGGCAAUUCAAUCACCACCACACACUUUCUCUCUCUUAACCAUGAACCACCACCCUCAUCCACCGCUGCCGUUGCCGUCGCCCCCUAUUGACCUGAAAACCACCACCCAAAUCUUGAAACAAACUACCACAAUCUUCACGGGUUAAAUGCAAUCAUUGGCCACAAUGACUAACGAAAACGGUGACUAUAUACAAAUCAUUCAAAUUCAGUAUUAAAAGAUUUACCACAAUACCUCUGCGAAUCUGACGACCACGAACUGGAUUUCAACGAAUCUGUAAACAACUGCAGAGAGAAAAUAGGGAGAGAAAUUAUGUGUAUUUGUCUAUAUGUACGGAAUCGAUAUAUGUAUGUCACGGAAGAACGUAGAUCCUAAACAAACCCCUCACUACCAAACAUCAAAACUCAAAACCACUCAGAUCCGAGACCCCAAAAACAGUCCCAGCAUCCUCAAUUAAAAAUCAGCACUCCAAGCCCUGAACUACGAAAACAUACUCCCUACUAUUCGAGACAAGGAACCACACGAUCUAUAGCCCCUCGGACUCGGCUAUGCAUAGAUCGGAAAAAUUAAUUUUAGGGAGGUUUCUAAUUUAGCCGCCGGUAAAGCUAUAAACAGUCACCAAGCAUGAAGGUGGAGAGAAAGGCAGGAGGUUGGUGGGCCGAAGGGAAGAAAAAGGGAAGGAGGGGAAACGGGUUGGCCGUAUAGAGAGGGGCAGGGAGAUGGAGGAAAAAGGGAGCAUGGAUCGGAUCUUUGUUGGGUAGGUUAGUUUUUCAUGGGUGGGCUAUAGUUUAGGUGUUAAAAUAAGUUACAGGUAGGCUCUAGCUAGAAUUAAGUGGGACCCUUCGUUUUACACGUCAUUUUUCC